GCAUAUCAAUAAGCGGAGGAAAAGAAACUAACAAGGAUUCCCCUAGUAACUGCGAGUGAAGCGGGAAAAGCUCAAAUUUAAAAUCUGGCGGUCUUUGGCCGUCCGAGUUGUAGUCUGGAGAAGUGCUUUCCGCGCUGGACCGUGUAUAAGUCUCUUGGAACAGAGCGUCAUAGAGGGUGAGAAUCCCGUCUUUGACACGGACUACCAGUGCUUUGUGAUGCGCUCUCAAAGAGUCGAGUUGUUUGGGAAUGCAGCUCAAAAUGGGUGGUGAAUUCCAUCUAAAGCUAAAUAUUGGCGAGAGACCGAUAGCGAACAAGUACCGUGAGGGAAAGAUGAAAAGCACUUUGGAAAGAGAGUUAAACAGUACGUGAAAUUGCUGAAAGGGAAACGCUUGAAGUCAGUCGCGUUGUCCGGAACUCAGCCUUGCUUUCGCUUGGUGCACUUUCCGGAUGACGGGUCAGCAUCGAUUUUGACCGUCGGAAAAGGGCUGGAGUAAUGUGGCACCUCCGGGUGUGUUAUAGACUCCGGUCGCAUACGGCGGUUGGGAUCGAGGAACGCAGCGCGCCGCAAGGCAGGGGUUCGCCCACUUUCGCGCUUAGGAUGCUGGCAUAAUGGCUUUAAACGACCCGUCUUGAAACACGGACCAAGGAGUCUAACAUACCUGCGAGUGUUUGGGUGGCAAACCCGAGCGCGUAAUGAAAGUGAAAGUUGAGAUCCCUGUCGUGGGGAGCACCGACGCCCGGACCUGACGUUCUCUGACGGAUCCGCGGUAGAGCAUGUAUGUUGGGACCCGAAAGAUGGUGAACUAUGCCUGAAUAGGGUGAAGCCAGAGGAAACUCUGGUGGAGGCUCGUAGCGAUUCUGACGUGCAAAUCGAUCGUCAAAUUGGGUAUAGGGCGAAAGACUAAUCGACCCAUCUAGUAGCUGGUUCCUGCCGAG
rnacentral:rRNA from 1 species